UACGGGGGGAGCAAGCGUUGUUCGGAUUUACUGGGCGUAAAGGGCGCGUAGGCGGCGCAACAAGUCACUUGUGAAAUCUCCGGGCUUAACCCGGAGCGGCCAAGUGAUACUGUCGUGCUAGAGUGCGGAAGGGGCUACUGGAAUUCUCGGUGUAGCGGUGAAAUGCGUAGAUAUCGAGAGGAAGACCAGUGGCGAAGGCGGGUCUCUGGACAGUUCCUGACGCUGAGGCACGAAGGUCAGGGGAGCAAACGGG
rnacentral:rRNA from 1 species